GCGAGCUCAGGUCAGGCGGGGAUACCCGCUGAGUU
rnacentral:rRNA from 1 species